rnacentral:lncRNA from 1 species
UGUCCCUGAAGGUAACGUUUCCUCUCUCCUGUCAUGGUGUCAUCAGUCCUGUGUUGUUUAUGUAGUGAGACAGAGAGAUGUGUAAUGUCCCUGAAGGUAACGUUUCCUCUCACCUGUCAUGGUGUCAUCAGUCCUGUGUUGUAUAUGUAGUGAGACAGAGAGAUGUGUAAUGUCCCUGAAGGUAACGUUUCCUCUCUCCUGUCAUGGUGUCAUCAGUCCUGUGUUGUUUAUGUAGUGAAACAGAGAGAUGUGUAAUGUCCCUGAAGGUAACGUUUCCUCUCACCUGUCAUGGUGUCAUCAGUCCUGUGUUGUAUAUGUAGUGAGACAGAGAGAUGUGUAAUGUCCCUGAAGGUAACGUUUCCUCUCUCCUGUCAUGGUAUCAUCAGUCCUGUGUUGUAUAUGUAGUGAGACAGAGACGUGUGUAAUGUUCCUGAAGUUAACGUUUCCUCUCCUGUCAUGGUGUCAUCAGUCCUGUGUUGUAUAUGUAGUGAGACAGAGAAAUGUGUAAUGUUUCUGAAGGUAACGUUUCCUCUCUCUCCUGUCAUGGUGUCGUCUCCCCUUUGAGCAGCGUCAGCGUUGUGUUUGUAGCCAGAAGCUUCAUAAACUGACUUUUUAUCCAGUUUUAAGACACUUUUUUACCAGACACCAUGUGUAGUGACGGUGCAGUUGUAGUAAACCUUCUCUCCUCCUCUCUCAGCUCUCAGGACCUCCUCACCCCUCCUCCCUCGCUGGUCGGUGUCUCUCCACUGGCUCUUCAGGCCCCGCCCCAGCCCCCUCAGGCUCCCCCCCUGCAGGUGCAGGUGCAGCAGCUGUCGAAGGAGAAGCAGAGCGUGGAGGCGGAGCUGCAUCGCUGUCAGGAGGCGGAGCGAGAGGCCAGUGAAAGAGUCCACAGGUUGGAGCGUCUGGUGGAGGUUUUGAGGAAGAAGGUCGGGACAGGAAGUGUCCGAGCCGUCAGCUGAUCUUCAGAUGUUUCUUUAGUAAAAUUAUGAUUAUUUCUGUGUAUUUCUUUUCUCUUUAUUCUAAAUAAAUCUUUACAGCCUUAAAGUUCAUGAAAACAUGAAACAUUUGAAGUGAUUUUCUAAUGUUUUUGUCAUAUUUUGCACUAAAUAUGAAGUUUAUGAUUGAGUGCUUUCUUUUUUUCUUCAUUUGGUGUUGACAUGAAAUAAA